CUGCUAAGGUAAGAUGUAGGCAGUUGUGAGCUUAGACUCAGUCAAGGAAAUAAAGAAAAUCACUUCAAAUUUUCCCACAGAGAAGUAUUUAAUACCGGGUGGGGGCGGGGGGAGAAUAGAUUACAAAAUUGCUGAAACGGUUGGAGAAGCAAGGAAGGGAGAUGUUUUCACUGAUUGGGAGCUAUCUGCUGCCAGCCCCUCUGAAGUCCAGACCCAACCAACCUGCUGUUCUAGAGCCUGCGGAGAGAAUGAACUGAAAGGCAACAAGACUGGGGACACCAGGCCAUCAACACUGUCUCAGAACAAAGGACAAGGAUCUGGUGAGCAGCCCAAACCUCUGAGGCUCUAGCCUUCCUUUCCCCUGCUCUGAGCUGUCCACCUCCCCAGCUGAGCUGACUUAAAAAAUGCAUGCCAGAUCCUGACUUCAUUCCUUGAUCUUUCCAAAGCCAGUGUGCUUCCUGCAUCCAGUCUGGAUCAGAUGCCUGUACUUAGCAGCCAUGGAUGUCACCAUGCUGAGUCAUACUGCAGCCAGGCGGAAAUGAAAAUUUUUCAGUCGUAAUUCUGGCUUUUUUUUUUUUUUUUUUUUUUUUUUUUUUUAGAAUUGUUUCCAGUAUGGACUUUGUCUGAACUUCUAUUUUAAUGCUUAUCUUGAUCACUGGUUUGUGUUUCUUUUUUUGUGGAUUUGUUGUGUGGUACCUCUUUAAAACUGUCCCCUCGGGUGAAUGCCUUGCUCAAUCUUCUCAGACCCCAGCAGGAGUGAAAUGCUGAAUGUAAAACUGAAGGGAAUGGCCACCACAGGUGACAAUGCCCAAAUCCCCAGAGGCUGAGACUGUGUAAGCUCCUGUGACAAAAUAACAUUUGCAGCUGGGACUAAGGGAACUCAAGAUAAGAAACUGCCUUGGGUUACCCAGGUGGCCUUCUCUAACUGCAAGGGAGGCAGGGGAGGACAGGUGUUAACAGUAGCAGGGGACAGAGAGUGGAGACUCACUCCUGUUAACAGUGAAGAUAGGGAGCAGACAACAGAACAGAGGACUGAUGAAGGUGAUUAAACAGAGAUUCCCAAGUCUCCGAGUCUCCUGCUAAUGCUGGGCUUUUUCCCCCAGAGAGGCCAGUCUGGAGCGCUGACCUUUGAACUGUGAAGCAAUAAACCUAUGGGUUUUUAAGUGUUUGUGGAGACC
rnacentral:lncRNA from 1 species